AAGGUCCAAAUAAACUCCCAAUUAAAUUGUAAGAUCAUCUCCAAAAUCAAAUAUGGUCAAAAUGAUAUGCACGUGACAUGAAAAAGGUGAUAACAUCCAAAUUAGAAAAAUUGGGAUGUUACAACAAUUCUUGCUGAGCAUGGUGCAACCCUAGGCAAGAUGGCGGAAGAAGAAGCUGUGGUGCGGACAUUCGUUGCGACUGCGCUAGUGGAGGAAGCUAUAUGUUCCUCUCUCAUUGCGAUCUAUGGGUGCACCGCUUCAACCUCUAUCGUCCAGGGAU
rnacentral:lncRNA from 1 species